UACGUAGGGUGCGAGCGUUGUCCGGAAUUAUUGGGCGUAAAGAGCUCGUAGGCGGCUUGUCGCGUCGGAUGUGAAAGCCCGGGGCUUAACUCCGGGUCUGCAUUCGAUACGGGCAGGCUAGAGUUCGGUAGGGGAGAUCGGAAUUCCUGGUGUAGCGGUGAAAUGCGUAGAUAUCUGGAGGAACACCGGUGGCGAAGGCGGCAUCCUGGACCAACACUGACGCUGAGGAGCGAAAGCCAGGGGAGCAAACGGG
rnacentral:rRNA from 1 species